rnacentral:tRNA from 1 species
CAGAAAAUAGUUUAAGUGAAAAAUUUUAGUUUUGGGAAUUAAAGAUAAGAGUGUUUUUUUUCUGA